rnacentral:rRNA from 1 species
UCGGGAAUAUUGCACAAUGGGGGAAACCCUGAUGCAGCGACGCCGCGUGAGUGAUGAAGGCCUUCGGGUCGUAAAGCUCUGUCGUAUGGGACUAACAAAAUGAAGGUACCAUGCAAGAAAGGAUCGGCUAACUUCGUGCCAGCAGCCGCGGUAAGACGAGGGAUCCUAGCGUUGUUCGGAAUUAUUGGGCGUAAAGCGGGUGUAGGCGGACUUAUAAGUCAGGUGUGAAAUCCCAGGGCUCAACCCUGGAAGUGCACUUGAUACUGCAAGUCUUGAGUGUGGUAGAGGCUAUUAGAAUUCCUGGUGUAGUGGUGAAAUACGUAGAUAUCAGGAGGAAUACCGGAGGCGAAGGCGGAUAGCUGGGCCAACACUGACGCUGAGACCCGAAAGCGUGGGGAUCAAACAGGAUUAGAUACCCUUGUAGUCCCUGAGCGGGCUGGCAAGGCGCAU